AUACAUUUUUUUUGGUUUUGCGUGACUUUUAGUUUUGGCGAGAAAAUAUGUUUUUGGAGUUAUGGUCGAAAAUGUGAGUUUUUGGUUUUAGCAUUUGCAGUUUCAGCGGAAAAUGUGGUUUUGUAUGUUUUGAAAAAUAUAUCAUAAUUAUUUUUGUCAAAAACUUAUUCCAGAUAUUUUAUUUACAUAAGGGUAAAACUGUCUUUUGUAAUAUUGGUUGAGUUCAUCUCCAUCCAUAUACACCAAUUAGUGUUAUCUAGAAAGUUAUCUAAAUGAGUUUCGUUUUAGGCAAAAAAUUUAAAUUCAUGAAAUAGAUCGUUUGAAAAUUCUCAUUUUAA
rnacentral:lncRNA from 1 species